rnacentral:rRNA from 1 species
UACGUAGGUGGCAAGCGUUGUCCGGAUUUACUGGGCGUAAAGAGCGCGCAGGCGGUCGAUUUAGUCGCGUGUGAAAGCCCCCGGCUCAACUGGGGAGGGUCACGCGAUACUGAUCGACUCGAAGGCAGGAGAGGGUAGUGGAAUUCCCGGUGUAGUGGUGAAAUGCGUAGAUAUCGGGAGGAACACCAGUGGCGAAAGCGGCUUCCUGGUCCAGCACCGACGUUCAGGCACGAAAGCGUGGGGAGCAAACAGG